rnacentral:rRNA from 1 species
GCAGGCCCUACCAAUUGCAAGUUCGAGCGGUAGCACAGAGAGCUUGCUCUCGGGUGACGAGCGGCGGACGGGUGAGUAAUGUCUGGGAAACUGCCUGAUGGAGGGGGAUAACUACUGGAAACGGUAGCUAAUACCGCAUAACGUCGCAAGACCAAAGUGGGGGACCUUCGGGCCUCAUGCCAUCAGAUGUGCCCAGAUGGGAUUAGCUAGUAGGUGGGGUAACGGCUCACCUAGGCGACGAUCCCUAGCUGGUCUGAGAGGAUGACCAGCCACACUGGAACUGAGACACGGUCCAGACUCCUACGGGAGGCAGCAGUGGGGAAUAUUGCACAAUGGGCGCAAGCCUGAUGAUGCAGCCAUGCCGCGUGUGUGAAGAAGGCCUUCGGGUUGUAAAGCACUUUCAGCGGGGAGGAAGGCGGUAAGGUUAAUAACCUUGUCGAUUGACGUUACCCGC